GCCCAGAGAAAGCCAGUAACUGAACAUUUUUAGAGAAGGUGGGGGCAGGAGUGCAGUUUGCUUUUAUGUUCACUGCACACUAGCCAUUUGCUUUUUGGAAGCCUUAGAAACGGCAUCCAAAUUUCUGUGGCAAAUCUUUCUGGUCUCAGUUUUUAAAGCAGCUUGAAAUAAAUCCAGUAAUAAAUUCAGUAAUACUUUGUACAUGCCAAAAGCUGUGGGCAGUUAAAGCAAACAAGCAAACAAAAACAACUAAUGGCAUUAGAGAAAGAAGAGAAGAAUGAACCUCUCCCAAAAGUCUCCAAACCUAAAGGGGCAGAGCUACACAACAAUGAAUUGUUUUAAGAAAUGGCAAGAUGCCCAGGAGCAUGGAGACAUGAAACAGCAGAGGAUGUGUGAUUCUGUGCACUUUAAAUAAGAAAUGUGUGAACUGGCAAUAAGGCUGACAUUCUAGCUACUGAAGGACACAGCUGUGGAGCAGCGAGAACAGCAAGGCCAGGCUGCCGUCCUAGCUUCCAACUUCCCGGUUGUGUGAACUUUGGCAAGUUUCUCAAGCUCUCUAUUCCCCCAUAUGAAAAUGAAGGAGCUCAUCUAGAGCUGAAGUUCUCAAACUUGUGAAAUUCAUAGAUGAAACAAGCAAGCAAAGCAACCACAAACCAGGAGCCUAACUUAAAAUGGUCAAAUGUUUUACUUGAAAAAUAGAUAGUUUUCAGAUACCUGCCACUUACCAUUACAGUCAUUUCAAAUAAAAGAAAAAAAAGAUGCCCAAGAAAAAAGGAGAGCAAAAUUUCAGAGUACAAGGCAUUUCCUUAAACAGAACACAUUAACUUGAAAAAACUGACUAUGAAAAAAUUGCUCAAUUGUCUUGCUGUCUUCAUUUUCUUUCUUAUUUUUUUUAAUUAA